UGGAAGUAAAAAGUCGU
rnacentral:rRNA from 2 species